rnacentral:piRNA from 1 species
UACAAAUCCUUUAGUCCACCCCCAAUGA